CAAACCAGUACACACCAGUACAAACCAGUGGUGUGGGGCAGCUAUGGGGCAGUUAUAGCACAUCUAUAGGGCAGCUAUGGGGCUGCUAUGGGGCAGCUAUAGGACAUCUAUAGGGCCGCUAUGGGGCAGCUAUAGGACGUCUAUAGGGCAGCUAUGGGGCCGCUAUGGGGCAGCUAUAGGACGUCUAUAGGGCCGCUAUGGGGCAGCUAUGGGGCAGCUAUAGGACGUCUAUAGGGCCGCUAUGGGGCAGCUAUGGGGCUGCUAUGGGGCAGCUAUAGGACGUCUAUAGGGCCGCUAUGGGGCAGCUAUAGGACGUCUAUAGGGCCGCUAUGGGGCAGCUAUGGGGCAUCUGUAGGGCUGCUAUGGGGCCGCUAUGGGGCAGCUAUAGGACGUCUAUAGGGCAGCUAUGGGGCCGCUAUGGGGCAGCUAUAGGACGUCUAUAGGGCCGCUAUGGGGCAGCUAUGGGGCCGCUAUGGGGCAGCUAUAGGACGUCUAUAGGGCCGCUAUGGGGCAGCUAUGGGGCCGCUAUGGGGCAUCUAUAGGGCAGCUAUGGGGCAGCUAUGGGGCCGCUAUGGGGCAGCUAUAGGACGUCUAUAGGGCCACUAUGGGGCCGCUAUGGGGCAGCUAUAGGACGUCUAUAGGGCCGCUAUGGGGCAGCUAUGGGGCAGUUA
rnacentral:lncRNA from 1 species